UACGUAGGGUGCAAGCGUUGUCCGGAAUUAUUGGGCGUAAAGAGCUCGUAGGCGGUUUGUUGCGUCGGCUGUGAAAUCCCGAGGCUCAACCUCGGGUCUGCAGUCGAUACGAGCAAACUAGAGUGUUGCAGGGGAGACUGGAAUUCCUGGUGUAGCGGUGAAAUGCGCAGAUAUCAGGAGGAACACCGGUGGCGAAGGCGGUGAUCUGGGCCGAUACUGACGCUGAGGAGCGAAAGCGUGGGGAGCGAACAGG
rnacentral:rRNA from 1 species